rnacentral:rRNA from 1 species
CUAACUGGAGGACCGAACCGACUAAUGUUGAAAAAUUAGCGGAUGACUUGUGGCUGGGGGUGAAAGGCCAAUCAAACCGGGAGAUAGCUGGUUCUCCCCGAAAGCUAUUUAGGUAGCGCCUCGUGAACUCAUCUUCGGGGGUAGAGCACUGUUUCGGCUAGGGGGUCAUCCCGACUUACCAACCCGAUGCAAACUACGAAUACCGAAGAAUGUUAUCACGGGAGACACACGGCGGGUGCUAACGUCCGUCGUGAAGAGGGAAACAACCCAGACCGCCAGCUAAGGUCCCAAAGUCAUGGUUAAGUGGGAAACGAUGUGGGAAGGCACAGACAGCCAGGAUGUUGGCUUAGAAGCAGCCAUCAUUUAAAGAAAGCGUAAUAGCUCACUGGUCGAGUCGGCCUGCGCGGAAGAUGUAACGGGGCUAAACCAUGCACCGAAGCUGCGGCAGCGACACUAUGUGUUGUUGGGUAGGGGAGCGUUCUGUAAGCCUGCGAAGGUGUGCUGUGAGGCAUGCUGGAGGUAUCAGAAGUGCGAAUGCUGACAUAAGUAACGAUAAAGCGGGUGAAAAGCCCGCUCGCCGGAAGACCAAGGGUUCCUGUCCAACGUUAAUCGGGGCAGGGUGAGUCGACCCCUAAGGCGAGGCCGAAAGGCGUAGUCGAUGGGAAACAGGUUAAUAUUCCUGUACUUGGUGUUACUGCGAAGGGGGGACGGAGAAGGCUAUGUUAGCCGGGCGACGGUUGUCCCGGUUUAAGCAUGUAGGCUGAUUGUCCAGGCAAAUCCGGAUAAUCAAGGCUGAGGUGUGAUGACGAGGCACUACGGUGCUGAAGUAACAAAUGCCCUGCUUCCAGGAAAAGCCUCUAAGCAUCAGGUAACAUUAAAUCGUACCCCAAACCGACACAGGUGGUCAGGUAGAGAAUACCAAGGCGCUUGAGAGAACUCGGGUGAAGGAACUAGGCAAAAUGGUGCCGUAACUUCGGGAGAAGGCACGCUGGUGUGUAGGUGAAGUCCCUGCGGAUGGAGCUGAGACCAGUCGAAGAUACCAGCUGGCUGCAACUGUUUAUUAAAAACACAGCACUGUGCAAACACGAAAGUGGACGUAUACGGUGUGACGCCUGCCCGGUGCCGGAAGGUUAAUUGAUGGG